UUACAUAAGAAGAGGUAAUGUUUGUUUUGUUUCUCAAGUCCCACCCUAAAAAUAAUAAAUUAGGAACCUCGAUCCUCGAGAUUGUAAUCUCACAUUACAUCCUGUCUUCAAGAACUGAACCAUAAGCUCCCUGAUCGGAAUUCUCAGCCUCCUCUCGGCUCUUGCAGCGACAAGUUAUGCUCUUUCGUGUACACAGUGUAUUUCUAAUAAAACGACAUGCUCCGGUACCAGCAUGACCUGUUAUUCAGGACUUCAGUGUGCAUCUACAUACACAGAAACAACUAUUGGUGUCCUCACAGAUUCAGAGCACGCAAGAUGAGAUUUCCCUGAAUGAUUGGAUGCUCCUGGGCUCCCCUCGUGGCCGCACUCCUUCCUACGCGUUGCUGCUGGUUGGUCAGGUUUCCUUUGCUACAUCACUUAGACCCCUUCCCCCUCUCUCUGAAGAGACAUGACAGAUUUUAAAUUGGUUUCUUACAAUGUUAAGGGACUGAGAUCCCCUUCUAAGAGAUCCCAGAUUUUCUCUCUCCUGCACAGAGAGAGAUGCUCAGUGGUCUUUUUGCAGGAGACGCACUUCAAACACGGAAAUUACCCCAACCUUUCCCAUUCUAAAUUUCCUAGCUGGUACCAUUGUGGUGCUGGGGGUGCGGCCUCGAGGUGAGUCAGCAUUGGCUUUUGUAGGGGGCUCCCUUUUCAAUAUAAAUCUCACGUUCAAGACCCAGAGGGUCGAUACAUGAUCCUCAUAGGCC